GCCAGAUGAGAAGAGAGUGCCUGAAAACAUCCCACGGGGGAGGGGUGAGGGGAGGUGUACAGGAAGGAUGAGAGCUGUUUGGCUCACACCGACGUGCUGUGCUGCUGGAGGCUCUUGUGUGCACAGCUACAUCUACUGGGCAGUGCUGCUGAUGACCACACCUCUGGUUGCUGUGGAGACGGCCAUGAGGUUGCAGUGGCCACAAGUGUGUGGUGGCGGAGCAGUGGACGGAGACGUUGACAAACAGAGUAAAAAUCCUGCACCUCACGGCGGUGUGACACUGGAGGUAGAGAACGGGCAGAGCUGGGACACAGACACCCAGAGAGGAGGGAGAGAGGACCAGGACCAGGGAAGUUGUCUGUCCCACAUCAUUGGCUUCUUCUGCUGUCUGCUGGUGUGGGCUGUCUGUGGCAUCUGUGGGGGUCAGGGCUGGAGACUGGAGGUGCUGUGGGUGGAGGUCUGCCUGGAGAGGACCAGCUCCCUCACUCUGUGUCUCCCUAGCCUCCCCAACACCGUCCUGCUUGCUCUGGGUGAGCCCAGCUGGGGCCUGGCCACUGUGACCUUGGCUCUCCUGCUGGUGCUGACGGUGGGCUGGGGCUUUCUCAGAAGACACCUGGCCCACACAGAGACGGACCCACACACACCCACAACCACACAGACACACAAGGAGGAACAUGGUACUGACAUUCAACUGCCCGUUCAAACACUUCCUGCACCACGCAAGGCUAUGAAACCUGUGAUGUCAGUGGCGUCAGCCCCACGGUUUGUUGACACAGAGACAACAUGGUCCAGAUGCUCCGUUCACAGCCCAUGUUCUGGGAACAACAUGCAGCUGUCACUGGGUCACCAUGUCCUCUUAUCCCUGGAUGUUUUGUCAGCAGACAGACUAGAGGGACACAAAGAGAAAAAAGGACUAGGAUACAUACCUCUCACUGGUAUUGUGGAGGAACACACAGACAGGAGCCAGCAUGGGCUCGGGCGAUUUCCCUGCCUGGCGGUGAAUAUAAUGACAGGGUUAAUGUGUCUGCUCACUGUCUGUGUGUUACCUCUAAACCUCAGUGUGAACAUCCUAUUAAUCAGGCACACAGAGACAAUGCUGCAGUGGAGUUUGAAUAUCUUAAUGUAGUUGAUAAUGUAAAUUCAAUCAUUAAGGAGGUCUGAAAGGCUUGCUCACUUUAUCUUCAUCCACUAAGCAUAAUAUAUCAUAUUGUUUCUUCUCUAUGGGAUAGUUGGUAGCUAUUUUCAAACAAUUUUCUCCCAGCAGGAGGGUCUCGAUGCCAGUUGCCCCC
rnacentral:lncRNA from 13 species